AUUGAGAAAAAAAAUAUUGAAAAUUAACAAGUCCAUGAUUAUGACAGAGAAAAAAAACAAAAUUCAAUGAACCUGUUAAACAACCGACGGUAAAUAUUAACACAAAGGCAAAGAGAGAAAUCUAUCAGAUCACUAUUAAGCAAAUGAACAUGAAUUUUAAUUAGACAACUUCAACCUAGAUAUGCUAUCUAAACAUCAGCAUGUUACAAGACAAAUUAAUAUAUCAUGACAAACUAUAUCAUGCUCGAAUUCUCAAACUAAUCAAACUCAUUCACAUCAAAGAGUUAAAAUGACCAUAAAGUUGAUUAAAACUUACUUGGACGGAUCUGCCAAGAUCCGUCUUAACAAGCUCAAAAGAUUUGAAGUAUUUGCCUAAAUUUGCUGUUAAUCCUCAUCGGAAAAGAAGAAAGAGGCACCGGAGAUAGAGAAGAUUUCUUCGUAGCUGUUGCAUGGAGUUGUUGACCGGAGCCUUCGCUGGAGCUACUUUUGUCUCGCUACUCCCUGGAGUCGAAGCUUCUGGUUUUGUUGUUGUCAUUGGCUGCUAUUAGCUCAAAGGAAAAAUGGGCGAAUGGAGGGAGAUGAAGCAGUGUCGACUGCUGGGUGUUCUCGCUAGUGGCUAUUGCCUUUGCGAGGAAUCUUUUCGGUGGAUUGCUUGGAGAAAGGAGGAGAGGAAGAGAGAAAAUGAGAGGGAGAGAGACCUCACCGGUGAUUGGGUUUGACCGGUGGCUUGCUGCUUCGACGUCUUUGUCGGAUGCCGGUGGAGAGAAGAGAGACGAGAAACAACGGCUAGAGAGAGAGGAGGGGAAGAGAAUGAAGAAACUUUAGGGUUCCUGCUGUUAUAGAACUAAAAAAGGAAAGAAAAUGAUUCAAGAU
rnacentral:misc_RNA from 1 species